AGAACGAACGCUGGCGGCAUGCCUAAUACAUGCAAGUCGAACGAACUCUUCGGAGUUAGUGGCGCACGGGUGCGUAACGCGUGGGAAUCUGCCCCUUGGUUCGGAAUAACAGUUGGAAACGACUGCUAAUACCGGAUGAUGGCGAAAGUCCAAAGAUUUAUCGCCAAGGGAUGAGCCCGCGUAGGAUUAGCUAGUUGGUGAGGUAAAGGCUCACCAAGGCAACGAUCCUUAGCUGGUCUGAGAGGAUGAUCAGCCACCCUGGGACUGAGACACGGCCCAGACUCCUACGGGAGGCAGCAGUAGGGAAUAUUGGACAAUGGGCGAAAGCCUGAUCCAGCAAUGCCGCGUGAGUGAUGAAGGCCUUAGGGUUGUAAAGCACGUUUAAGUUGGGAGG
rnacentral:rRNA from 1 species